GACUUUGCGCAGUGGUGGUAACGUAGCCAAUGAAGUUUAUUUGAGGAGCGGUUGUUAUUAGUUGAAAACUACUUAUGUCCCAAUCAACUCAUCAAAAUAUCAUUGAUCAACCUGACGAGAUAUUUUUCACUCUAUUAUUA
rnacentral:snRNA from 1 species